GUGCAGCAGCCGCGGUAAUACGGAGGGGGGUUAGCGUUGUUCGGAAUUACUGGGCGUAAAGCGCGCGUAGGCGGAUUGGAAAGUUGGGGGUGAAAUCCCGGGGCUCAACCCCGGAACUGCCUCCAAAACUGCCAGUCUAGAGUUCGAGAGAGGUGAGUGGAACUCCAAGUGUAGAGGUGAAAUUCGUAGAUAUUUGGAAGAACACCAGUGGCGAAAGCGGCUCACUGGCUCGAUACUGACGCUGAGGUGCGAAAGUGUGGGGAGCAAACAGGAUUAGAUA
rnacentral:rRNA from 1 species